UACGGAGGGUGCAAGCGUUAUCCGGAUUCACUGGGUUUAAAGGGUGCGUAGGCGGAUUGGUAAGUCCGUGGUGAAAUCCCCGAGCUUAACUUGGGAACUGCCGUGGAUACUAUCAGUCUUGAAUAUCGUGGAGGUAAGCGGAAUAUGUCAUGUAGCGGUGAAAUGCUUAGAUAUGACAUAGAACACCAAUUGCGUAGGCAGCUUACUACUCGAUCAUUGACGCUGAGGCACGAAAGCGUGGGAGCAAACAGG
rnacentral:rRNA from 1 species